rnacentral:rRNA from 1 species
UACAGAGGUCCCAAGCGUUAUCCGGAUUUACUGGGUUUAAAGGGUGCGUAGGCGGGCCCUUAAGUCAGUGGUGAAAGCUCCGAGCUUAACUCGGAAACUGCCAUUGAUACUAUAGGUCUUGAAUUCGGUCGAGGUUGGCGGAAUGUGUCGUGUAGCGGUGAAAUGCUUAGAUAUGACACAGAACACCGAUUGCGAAGGCAGCUAGCUAGACCGACAUUGACGCUGAGGCACGAAAGCGUGGGGAUCAAACAGG